UGGGGAAUUUUGCGCAAUGGGGGAAACCCUGACGCAGCAACGCCGCGUGAGUGAUGAAGGCCUUCGGGUCGUAAAGCUCUGUCAGAGGGGAAGAAAUGCAGGGGUGCUAAUAUCAUCUUUGCUUGACGGUACCCUCAAAGGAAGCACCGGCUAACUCCCUGCCAGCAGCCGCGGUAAUACGGAGGGUGCGAGCGUUGUUCGGAAUUAUUGGGCGUAAAGCGCGUGUAGGCGGUUUGGUAAGUCUGAUGUGAAAGCCCCGGGCUCGAACUGGGAAUUGCGUUGGAAACUGUCAGACUUGAAUUCGUUAUGGGGUAGUGGAAUUCCUAGUGUAGGAAUGAAAACCAUAGAUAUUAGGAGGAACACAGGUGGCGAAGGCGGCUACCUGGACCGAUAUUGACGCUGAAACGCGAAAGCGUGGGGAGCA
rnacentral:rRNA from 1 species